AGCAGCCGCGGUAAUUCCAGCUCCAAUAGCGUAUAUUAAAGUUGUUGCAGUUAAAAAGCUCGUAGUUGAAUUUCGGGAUCAGUAGGUCGGUCGUGCCACUGGUAUGAACUGGUCUCACUGGUUCCUCCCUCUUGACGAACUGCAAUGCUAUUAAUUUAGUGUUGUAGGAAAUCAGGACUGUUACUUUGAAAAAAUUAGGGUGUUUAAAGCAGGCUUUAGCUUGAAUACAUUAGCAUGGAAUAAUGAAAUAGGACGUUCGAUCCUAUUUUGUUUGGCUUCUAGGAUUGACGUAAUGAUUAAUAGGGACAGUUGGGGGCAUUAGUAUUCAAUUGUCAGAGGUGAAAUUCUUGGAUUUAUUGAAGACUAACUACUGCGAAAGCAUUUGCCAAGGAUGUUUUCAUUAAUCAAGAACGAAAGUUAGGGGAUCGAAGACGAUCAGAUACCGUCGUAGUCUUAACCAUAAACUAUGCCGACUAGGGAUCGGAUGAUGUUAAUUUUUUAAUGACUCAUUCGGCGUACC
rnacentral:rRNA from 1 species